GUAGGGAAUAUUGGGCAAUGGAUGCAGUCUGACCCAGCCAUCCCGCGUGCCGGAAGAAGGCCCUCAGGGUUGUAAACGGCUUUUGACGGUGAAGAAUCGACAGGAUGCGUCCUGUUUUGACGGUAGCCGUUGAAUAAGCACCGGCUAACUCCGUGCCAGCAGCCGCGGUAAUACGGAGGGUGCGAGCGUUGUCCGGAUUUAUUGGGUUUAAAGGGUGCGUAGGCUGGAAGGUCAGUCAGCGGUGAAAAGCUGUCGCUUAACGAUAGUCUUGCCGCAGAUACUUCCUUUCGUGGAUGAGGAGGAGGCCACUGGAACGGAUGGUGUAGCGGUGAAAUGCAUAGAUAUCAUCCAGAACGCCAAUUGCGAAGGCAGGUGACUGUACCUAUAUCGACGCUGAUGCACGAAAGCAUGGGUAGCGAACAGGAUUAGAAACCCCUGUAGUCC
rnacentral:rRNA from 1 species